rnacentral:misc_RNA from 1 species
GAUGAAGGACGUAGUGAAAUGCGAUAAGUAGUGUGAAUUGCAGAAUUCAGUGAAUCAUCGAAUCUUUGAACGCACAUUGCGCCCUUUGGUAUUCCAAAGGGCAUGCCUGUUCGAGCGUCAUUUGUACCCUCAAGCUUUGCUUGGUGUUGGGCGUCUUGUCUCUAGCUUUGCUGGAGACUCGCCUUAAAGUAAUUGGCAGCCGGCCUACUGGUUUCGGAGCGCAGCACAAGUCGCACUCUCUAUCAGCAAAGGUCUAGCAUCCAUUAAGCCUUUUUUUCAACUUUUGACCUCGGAUCAGGUAGGGAUACCCGCUGAACUUAAGCAUAUCAAUAAGCGGAGGA